UACGUAGGGUGCGAGCGUUAAUCGGAAUUACUGGGCGUAAAGCGUGCGCAGGCGGUUUUGUAAGCCAGAUGUGAAAGCCCCGGGCUUAACCUGGGAAUGGCAUUUGGGACUGCAAGGCUUGAGUGCGGCAGAGGAGACUGGAAUUCCUGGUGUAGCAGUGAAAUGCGUAGAUAUCAGGAGGAAUACCGAUGGCGAAGGCGGGUCUCUGGGCCGAUACUGACGCUGAGGAGCGAAAGCGUGGGGAGCGAACAGG
rnacentral:rRNA from 1 species